GAUUUUAUUCCCUAAUGCGUAACUUGAUCAAAUAUAUGAACAUUUUUCAGGGCCUUUAAAGAAGAAAGAGGGAAAGACACAACAGAAAUGAUGGGAAGUCGUGAAGUGCUCAAUGGUAAGUAUUGAUCAGCAGUCUUUCCCAUGAACACGUUAAUCAACUGGAGUGGUGAACAGAGGAACAAGGAGGCUGAACAUCACUGUGUUCAGUGGAAAAUUGCUAUGGGUUUUUGA
rnacentral:lncRNA from 1 species